CUCUCUUGCUUCUUGCUCUCUCUUGCUUCCCUCUCUUGCUUCUUGCUCUCUCUUGCUUCCCUCUCUUGCUUCUUACACUCUGGCCCGAUAAAGAUAUAAGCAAUAAAGCUUUGCCGUGGAAGAUUCUGGUUGUUGUAUUCUUCCUGGCCGGUCGUGAGAACGCGUCUAAUAACAAUUGGUGCCGAAUUCCGGGACGAGAAAAAACUCCGGACUGGCGCAGGAGGGAUACUUCAUUUCAGAACCAGAACUGCGAAUCAAGGUUAUAAGGUUCCCGUAAAGCAGACUGUUGAGAAGGAUUCAACUGCCGAAUUCAGAACUCAUCAGCUGGGGAACGACGGUGAUAAAGGUUCCCGUAAAGCAGACUGUUAAGAAGGAUUCAACUGUAUGAAUUCAGAACUUUUCAGCUGGGGAACGAGGUAAGUCUGAUCUUGAACUUUCUAAGGAAAUUCAAGACAGUCUAUCAGAAGUAAAGUGGAAAAUGGCUUUACAAGUUAUGUUUGGCCUUAAAUUUUUUCUAGUGUUAGAAGCCCUUCUGUUCCUUUUCACAUGUUAUAUAGUGGUUAAGAUAGGGCUGAAAAUUCUAGAGGAAAUUCAGGACAGUCUAUCAGAAGUAAAGCGGGGAGAGAGAGUAGGAGCAAGGAGAAACGGUAAGUAUACAGGCCUUUCCAAGGGUCUUGAACCCGAGGAAAAGUUAAGGUCAGGUAGGAAUACCUGGGGAGAGAUUAGAAGGAAG
rnacentral:lncRNA from 1 species